UACGUAGGGCGCAAGCGUUAUCCGGAAUUAUUGGGCGUAAAGAGCUCGUAGGCGGUUUGUCGCGUCUGCCGUGAAAGUCCGGGGCUCAACUCCGGAUCUGCGGUGGGUACGGGCAGACUAGAGUGAUGUAGGGGAGACUGGAAUUCCCGGUGUAGCGGUGAAAUGUGUAGAGAUCGGGAGGAACACCGGUGGCGAAGGCGGCUCACUGGCUCAUUACUGAGCUCAGGCGCGACAGCGUGGGGAUCAAACAGG
rnacentral:rRNA from 1 species